AAGUCGAGGGGCAGCAUGAACUUAGCUUGCUAAGUUUGAUGGCGACCGGCGCACGGGUGAGUAGCACGUAUCCAACCUUCCGUUUACUCAGGGAUAGCCUUUCGAAAGAAAGAUUAAUACCUGAUAGUAUGGUGAGAUUGCAUGAUAUUUUUAUUAAAGAAUUUCGGUUAUCGAUGGGGAUGCGUUCCAUUAGUUUGUUGGCGGGGUAACGGCCCACCAAGGCGACGAUGGGUAGGGGUUCUGAGAGGAAGGUCCCCACAUUGGAACUGAGACACGGUCCAAACUCC
rnacentral:rRNA from 1 species